rfam:Schistosoma margrebowiei strain Zambia genome assembly, scaffold: SMRZ_scaffold0002068
AUCAAGCUGAUGGGUCCCAAAUAGGACGAAACGCGCAUCCUGGAU